rnacentral:rRNA from 1 species
UACGUAGGCAGCAAGCGUUGUUCGGAGUUACUGGGCGUAAAGGGUGCGUAGGCGGUUGUUUAAGUUUGGUGUGAAAUCUCCCGGCUCAACUGGGAGGGUGCGCCGAAUACUGAAUGACUAGAGUGCGGGAGAGGAUAGUGGAAUUCCUGGUGUAGCGGUGAAAUGCGUAGAUAUCAGGAGGAACACCGGUGGUGUAGACGGCUUUCUGGACCGUAACUGACGCUGAAACACGAAAGCGUGGGUAGCAAACAGG